rnacentral:antisense_RNA from 1 species
GUAAGAUAGUUAGUUAGUAAAAAACGAAGUUAAACAUUUUACAAAUCUUUUUAAAGUAGUUGGGGA